CUACGGGUGGCUGCAGUGGGGAAUAUUGGACAAUGGGGGCAACCCUGAUCCAGCCAUGCCGCGUGUGUGAAGAAGGCCCUCGGGUUGUAAAGCACUUUCAGUGAGGAAGAACGCCUGGUGGUUAAUACCCAUCAGGAAAGACAUCACUCACAGAAGAAGCACCGGCUAACUCCGUGCCAGCAGCCGCGGUAAUACGGAGGGUGCGAGCGUUAAUCGGAAUUACUGGGCGUAAAGCGCGCGUAGGUGGCUUGAUAAGCCGGUUGUGAAAGCCCCGGGCUCAACCUGGGAACGGCAUCCGGAACUGUCAAGCUAGAGUGCAGGAGAGGAAGGUAGAAUUCCCGGUGUAGCGGUGAAAUGCGUAGAGAUCGGGAGGAAUACCAGUGGCGAAGGCGGCCUUCUGGACUGACACUGACACUGAGGUGCGAAAGCGUGGGUAGCAAACAGGAUUAGAUACCCUAGUAGUC
rnacentral:rRNA from 1 species